AAAAAUGGAAAUGAAAAUGAAAAGUACACGUGGCAGAAUCAGGACCGUAGCAUACGGCGCCAACUAAGGAUGUUGGGAUAGAAAUUGGGUGGAGAAGAUGGGAUAUCACAGAGCACACAGACUGUCAAAAAUAGAGAAAAGCUGAGUCAAGUCAAGCCUCAGUCAGCUCACAUGUGAUGGGCCUCAGCCAGCACCACUCCACCCCCAUCCGAAUAUGGGCCCCACCUAUCCAGCCCAUUUUACCGGCUCUACCGGUUUUCUCUCUCCUCCUCAGCCCUCAAAAAGCCCGGCCCAUAUAAUUGCACCAUUUCUCCCUCUCUCUCACCUCUUCCUUCUUCUUCUUCUUCCAUAAUCAGCUUUUAAGUUUCAGAAAACAAAAACUCUCUCUCUCUGCGCGGGGCUCUCCGGAGCCCAUUGAACGGAGGCUGAGAAGGACUCGCACCCUUUGGAUUCGUCUGAACGACGUCGCAGAGAGAGAUUGUGGGUUGAGCUUGAGCUUCUUCUUCGUCAUUUUUUGUUUUUCAACGGAUUUUUCUUCUUCUGAGAAAAAAGAAAAAUGGAGAUUUCCAGGGUUUUGUUCUUCGUUUUGGCUGUUGCUUCUCUCUUUUUGACGACUAGGGCUCAAUCUUCUGCUCCGGCUCCCGCUCCCACCAGCGACGGGGCAACCAUAGACCAAGGGGUUGCAUGCCUGUUGAUGUUGGUGGCUCUGGUGUUGACAUACCUAAUUCACUGAAUUGGAACUCUUUUUGCCAUUUCUGGCGAAUUGAAAUAAUGCAUAGUAUUAGAGAUGAAGAGAGAUUUGAAUUGGGGUUGGAUUUGUUGUGUGAUUUGGUCCUGAAUUGGGAAAAUCUAUGGAUUUAUACUAAUUAGGUGUUCUGAUUUUGACAAUUAUGUGUAUUGACUUCUAGUUAUAAUACUCUUUCACUGUCAUUUUCAUUUCAA